ACAGCCUGUUCCACGAUGUCGAAAGAACACGUUCGCACAACUUUUACACGACAAACAGCUGAUUUCCGUUCCACUAAAAUCCAUCAGAACGAAAAUUUGCACGAAAAUCAAAGCGAACGAAAACGUAAGCGUUUCAGUGUAAUUUUGCGUUCCACUAUCUUUUUUCUUUCGUACGCAUGCGAACACAAAUGUCAAAAUCAGUCACUUGUGUGUUUGCUGUCGAAUGAUAAAAAUUAAGGAAAAUUGUUUUAACAUAAACAUUCCUUGAUUGAAAAUGGAAAGAAAAAUCACGAAAAAACUACACAGCUGCGGGCAAUAGUUGAGUAUAUGGGGGAGAAUCCUAAGUUCGGCAGAGGAGUGCCAAUUUUUGGAAGCAGCAGGCAAUCCCAUGAAGACCACUGGAAGACACAAACCUAGAAAAAAUCAUUUUUUUAUUAUUUCAAAAAUGUAAAAAUACAAUCAUACUUACUGGUUGUUAGGUACUUCAAAUAAAUUCGAAGCAUCUCUUAAAUGCCUCCGUGGCACAAUUUGAACCUCCUCCUCAUCAUCCAUAAAAAAUAGGGCUACAGAAAUAUACAUUUUUUUCUUUUUUAAGAACACAAAUAAUCUGAACACAA